rnacentral:rRNA from 1 species
UACAGAGGGUGCGAGCGUUAAUCGGAAUUACUGGGCGUAAAGCGCACGUAGUCGGCUUUGCAAGUCGGUUGUGAGAUCCCCGGGCUCAACCUGGGAACUGCAUCCGAGACUGCAUUGCUAGAGUAUGGGAGAGGAAAGCGGAAUUUCUGGUGUAGCAGUGAAAUGCGUAGAUAUCAGAAGGAACAUCAGUGGCGAAGGCGGCUUUCUGGACCAAUACUGACGAUCAGGUGCGAAAGCGUGGGGAGCAAACAGG